CUCAACAUUUCUCUGCAUAUCGUCAGACAUCUUCCUCGUGGAGUUUUCUGCCAAAUGAGGUAAGUUUUGACCUUUUUUGUCUGUUUUACACACACGGAAGAUAAAAUGCAAAACACAAACUAAUUCGGUAACGUUACUAGCAAGCUGUCUGUGAAGCGACUGUGUAAACAGAGGCGUCCGACGCGCAGCAGCCGCGCCAGAAUAAUAAUGCCGCUUCAGGUCAGCGGUCCGGACGUGAUUGCUGCUGUACUGUGAAUCUCAAGCACACCUGCAUUCUUAUCAUGGGUGAUGGACAGUUCAAGAUUGCUGUCGUUCAAGAAGUUAAUGACCACUGUUGUGGCUGUGAGCUACAAAUACCCAGAAGAGGCGGCACUUACAUUGGAAUUCAUACAGAAGUAAGCAACAUGUAUGUUAUGAAAUGUGUAUCUGUUUAUUUAAUUGAAAAUAAUGAAGUAUAUUGUAAGACACAGAUGAUCUGACAAGCUCGUAUUACAGAUGUAAAUGGAGACUAUUGGAAAUGUAAGUUAAGCAAUUUAUAAACAAAUAUUUUAAUUGGCAAGUAUUAGGGUUAGCAGUUAAUUUAAUGAACUUAAAAUACUGUAUGAUUGAUUUUCCAUUUCCAACCUGCAUGUUACUCUGUAGUUCAGUUUCAUUCAUUUCAUUUUUAUAAUUAUCCAUUUCUUUUAGAGUUUUCCUGUGAAGAAAUCCUAAAUGAGGGUUGAGAUGAAGGCAACCAGGUGAUGGGCAGUUCAAGAUCGUUUGAGAAGUUAAUGAACAAAUCUUCUUUCGUCUUGCGGUUGUGAGCUACAAAAUACCCAGAGGAGGCGGCACUUACUCUGGAGUUCAUACAGAAAAUUUUCCUGUGAAGAAAUCCUGAACGUGUUUUGAGAUGAAGGCAACCAAGUGCCUAUGUAUUCCUCCAAGACUCUUGCAUGAACAAUUUUGAAAAUCCAUGUAAUAUUUGAGUUUUUAAGUUGAAAAAAAUGGCACUUGCAUUAAACAUGCAGUUAAAUGGGAAAUAAUACAUCCCCUAUAAUGAAUUGCAUCACUUCAGUGAUAUUUCUGUUACAAUGAACUUCAAAAUUCUGUUGUCAAGCCACUGGAAUCACAUAAUUUAUACCUUUCUGGACCUUGAAAAUGGUAGUUGCAUAGACAAUCAAUAGAGGGACAGAAAGUACCCAGAUUUAACUAAAAAUACUCUUAAUUUCUGUUCUAAAAAUGAAUGAGUCUUAUGGGUUUGGAAUGGUAUGAGGGUGAGUAAUUGACUGAAUUAACAUUUUUAUGUGAACUAUCCCUCUAAACAAUAUUGUUUUAUCUUAUAAGAAAAAAAAGUUUUGAAUCUUGACUGUUUUACAGUUUGAAGUUUAAAUUUUGUGACUACUUUUUAGUACAACACCUGUAUUGUACAAAUGCUCAUGUUUUCUUUUUUUUUAAAUUCUGUCUGUUACUGUUUAAAGCUAAACUGUGUUUUUACAAUACAGGCAUUUUGCCUGAGAUGACACAUUGUUAAAUGAAUUUUUGAGUAUUUGAUAUUGUUUAGUCCUAACCCACUUAAGGCAAACAAAAGCCAUUGAAUGCACUUUUAAGAAUGUUU